rnacentral:rRNA from 1 species
UACGUAGGGGGCUAGCGUUGUCCGGAAUCAUUGGGCGUAAAGAGCGUGUAGGCGGUCCGGUAAGUCCGCUGUGAAAGUCGGGGGCUCAACCCUCGGAUGCCGGUGGAUACUGUCGGGCUUGAGUACGGAAGAGGCGAGUGGAAUUCCUGGUGUAGCGGUGAAAUGCGCAGAUAUCAGGAGGAACACCGAUUGCGAAGGCAGCUCGCUGGGACGUUACUGACGCUGAGACGCGAAAGCGUGGGGAGCAAACAGG